AUUGAACGCUGGCGGCAUGCUUUACACAUGCAAGUCGAACGGUAACAGGCCGCAAGGUGCUGACGAGUGGCGAACGGGUGAGCAAUGCAUCGGAACGUGCCCAGUCGUGGGGGAUAACGCAGCGAAAGCUGUGCUAAUACCGCAUACGAUCUAUGGAUGAAAGCGGGGGACCGUAAGGCCUCGCGCGAUUGGAGCGGCCGAUGUCAGAUUAGGUAGUUGGUGGGGUAAAGGCGCACCAAGCCAACGAUCUGUAGCUGGUCUGAGAGGACGACCAGCCACCCUGGGACUGAGACACGGCCCAGACUCCGACGGGAGGCAGCAGUAGGGAAUUUUGGCCAAUGAGCGCAAGCCUGAUCCAGCAAUGCCGCGUGCAGGAAGAAGGCCUUCGGGUUGUAAACUGCUUUUGUACGGAGCGAAAAGGCUCUCUCUAAUACAGGGGGCUCAUGACGGUACCGUAAGAAUAAGCACCGGCUAACUACGUGCCAGCCGCCGCAGUAAGAC
rnacentral:rRNA from 1 species